rnacentral:rRNA from 1 species
AUUGAACGCUGGCGGCAUGCUUUACACAUGCAAGUCGAACGGCAGCGCGGGCUUCGGCCUGGCGGCGAGUGGCGAACGGGUGAGUAAUACAUCGGAACGUGCCCAGUAGUGGGGGAUAGCUCGGCGAAAGCCGGAUUAAUACCGCAUACGACCUGAGGGUGAAAGCGGGGGAUCUUCGGACCUCGCGCUAUUGGAGCGGCCGAUGGCAGAUUAGCUAGUUGGUGGGGUAAAGGCCUACCAAGGCGACGAUCUGUAGCUGGUCUGAGAGGACGACCAGCCACACUGGGACUGAGACACGGCCCAGACUCCUACGGGAGGCAGCAGUGGGGAAUUUUGGACAACGGGCGAAAGCCUGAUCCAGCAAUGCCGCGUGUGUGAUGAAGGCCUUCGGGUUGUAAAGCACUUUUGGCGGGAACGAAAAGGACUGUGCCAAUACCACGGUUCGAUGACGGUACCCGCAGAAUAAGCACCGGCUAACUACGUG